CCUACGGGAGGCAGCAGUGAGGAAUAUUGGUCAAUGGGCGGGAGCCUGAACCAGCCAAGUAGCGUGCGGGAUGAAUGCCCUAUGGGUUGUAAACCGCUUUUGCACGGGGAGAAUAAGCUCCACUUGUGGAGUGCUGCCAGUACCGUGCGAAUAAGGGUCGGCUAAUUCCGUGCCAGCAGCCGCGGUAAUACGGAGGGUCCGAGCGUUAUCCGGAUUCAUUGGGUUUAAAGGGUGCGUAGGCGGCAUUAUAAGUUAGUGGUAAAAUCUUGGGGCUCAACCUCGCUACGCCAUUAAUACUGUACAGCUUGAGAACAGAUGAGGCAGGCGGAAUUAGUGGUGUAGCGGUGAAAUGCAUAGAUAGAACUUAGAACCCCGAUAGCGAAGGCAGCUUACCAGGCUGCGUCUGACGCUGAUGCACGAGGGUGCGGGUAGCGAACAGGAUUAGAUACCCCAGUAGUC
rnacentral:rRNA from 1 species